CAUUACUCUUCUAUGUAAUUUCUUCACUUCCUUGUACUUUGGCAAAGGUAGAGAUGAAAUGAAAGGAACACAGAACUGAGGUCAGGAAAUCUUGAAUUUAUCAAUAGUUCGCUGUGUGACCUUGGACAAUAUUAACUCAUUUAUAUAGCAAUUGUAAAGAGCAUUUAUUAUUUCACAACACCUCCUAAGUAUUAUUUUCCUCAUUUUGGAGGCGGAGAAACUGAGACCCUUAAGGGAUCUUUUGGCCCAACUAACUUCACACAACUGAAUAAAACUAAAGAAAAGGCGCUCAUUCAGACUGUGAAUCCCGCAUGCCAGACGACUCUCUCAGCCAGUCCGCUCUCUGGCCUCUCCAGGUGGGAGAAACAGAAAGGGAGGAUUGGGAGGGUUUGGGACUAGUUGAUAUCUAAAGCCCUUCCAGCUCGGGAUGGGGCGGGGUGGAAAGCCGGGCCAGCUCUAAGGUGGGGAGGUAGCGAGGGGCCGGACGUGGGAGAGGCGGGCCGGGGCGGGGCUGGAGCCUCUGGCUCUCCCGGUUCGGCCAGCCCGACCCUCUCCUUCCCAGCUCCUCACGAUGGCGGCUCGGGGGCUGCGGAGGAGGCCGCGCCUCUGGCAGUUUCUGUUGCCCGCGGUGCUGGCCUUGAACUUGGCCGCCGUCCAGGCCCAGCAGACGCCGCGCACCCCGGAGCGCGGGCCCCCGGUGCGGCUCUUUACGGAGGAGGAGCUGGCCCGCUACGGCGGGGAGGAGGAAGACCAGCCCAUUUACCUGGCAGUGAAAGGGGUAGUAUUUGAUGUCACUUCUGGAAAGGAGUUCUAUGGGAGGGGAGCACCAUACAAUGCCCUUGUUGGGAAAGACUCUACAAGAGGAGUGGCCAAGAUGUCUUUGGAUCCUGCAGACCUCACACAUGAUACCACUGGACUCACAGAAGAACAGCUGAAGUCCCUGGAUGAUAUCUUCACUAAUGUAUACAAAGCCAAAUAUCCUAUUGUUGGCUACACAGCACGUCGUAUCCUAAAUGAUGAUGGCAGCCCUAACCGCAACUUCAAGCCUGAGGACCAGCCCCAUUUUGACAUUAAGGACGAGUUCUGACAGUUUGCUAGAGGCAAUCCCUUGGUGGAAAGAUGGAACUCAAAGGGAACUUGGUAGACUUACUUCUGCUUUAGCUGAGGAAUGAGAGAAGUAACUUAGUACAUCAGAAGUACUCAAAGUGUCUCAUUCUGGAAUAUCUGAAUCACUUUUUGAUAUGAAUAAAAUGAACUUUUACAUAGAACAUUUCUUCUUUUCUUUUCUUCCUUCUUUCCUUUUUUCUUUUCUCCCUCUCUCCCUCUCUCUCUCUCUUUAUUUUUCUUUCUCUCUUUCCUUCCUUCCUUCCUUCCUUCCUUCCUUCCUUCCUUCCUUCCUUCCUUCCUUCCUUCCUUCCUUCCUUCUUUCCUUCCUUCCUUCCUUCCUUUCUUCUUUCCUUCCUUCCUUCCUUCUUUCCUUUCCUCCUCCUCCUGCUUCUUCUUCUUCUUCCUUUUCUCCUCCUCUUCCUCCUCCUCCUCUUCCACCUCCUCCUCCUCCUGCUGCUGCUGCUGUUUCCUUUUCUUCUACUUCUCCUCUUCCUCCUCCUUCUUUUCCUCUUCCUCCUCCCCCUCCUGCUCUUCCUUCUCCUUCUCUUUUUCCUCUUCUUCUUCCUCCUCCUCUUCCUCCUCCCCCUCUUCUUGCUCCUUUUUCUCUUUUUUCAUUCUUCAUUCUUCUUUUUGUUUGCAUGUUUCACCCACAAGAUCAUAGGGUUUAGAGCUGAAAGAAGACUUAGAAAUCAACUCAUGGGAUAAGCUCAUUUUACACAGGAGGGAACUGAGAUCUAAAAAAAGUUAAAAUACCUUUCCCAAAGACAGACUUACCUACUAAAUGGAUAUAGUGCCAAACCUGAUGUUAAAAAGACAUGGAUUUAAAUCCUAGCUCAGAUACUUUUUAGCUGUGUGACUCUGAGUAAAGCACUUAACUUUUCAACUUCAAUUUCUCCAUCUAUUAAAUGGUAAUAAAAAUUGCACCUACCUUACACAAUAAUUUUGAGGAUCAAAUAAGAUUAAUAUAUGUAAAGUUAUUUUGUAAACCUUAAAGCACCAUGUAAAUUCCAGCUAAUAUUUUUCUAACAAACUGGAUUCCAGUAGGCAACUCAAUGACUCAACAGUCCAAAACCAAUAUACUUUAAAUCACCCUUCUUCUGAACACCUCUGUUACUAUCCAUCAACACUGCCUUCCUAAGACAUGAAUAGAUGAACAAGUGCUGUGGGCUGUCCAUCUAACUGGUCUGGACAAUAAGGCAUUCUUCAUCCACUUGGUAGUCAGAUCAAACUCUUUUGACUAGUUAUGGAUCAGUUUAGGAGGCUUUGCUGUUUUCUUGGGCUUCAUGUAAUUAGCACAAUGUCAUUUCCCAAUCAAUGGCCUCUGUAGGACUUCGCCAUUUGUAGGGACUCACUCCAAUUUGGCCUUUUCUCUCUAUCACUUAUAAUCCUAAUACAAGGGCUUCUUUGGCAGAGUCUCAUUCCUAAGUCUUAUCAUCAUCUCUUGCUCUCUGCUGACUUUAGUGGGAGAUAGAAUGAUUUCCUACCCCCACCUCCACCCUUUCCUGCUGGUCCAUAUGAUCCAUAUUCAGAUUGUCAGGCAGGGAGAGUCUGGCUCUCAUUCUCCAAUCUUUCAGUAAUAUCUCACCCAUUCUAAAAGAGCAAAACUUCCAGAGUAUGACUUUCUGGGCAUGACCAUAUUCUUAAACAAAUAGAAAAGGGAAAGAUUUCAAUAUUUCCUUUAUCUGUGAUAUCCCCACUGGAUAGGCUUGAGUUGGAGCUGUGCAGAUGGCAUCUGGCAUUCCCUUGAUAUCUGGUAUAACCUAUAAAUAUCACUGGGCAAAAGCCUCUGGGUUGUUUCAAUUCUUCCAGGGCAAUCAUCCAGGAAAAAAUGGAGGCAGGGAAUUGGGAAGGAGGGAUUCUAGUUUUAUAAAAUAAAAAGUAAAAAGAGCUCCUGCCCUGAAGGAGCCUAUAUUCUCUUGGGGGCAACAACUUGUACAUAAAUAGCUACGUCUAUAGAGUAGAUACCAAGUAACAUUAGAGGAGAAGGAAGCAAUUCUGCAAGGAAGGCUCAAUCUUUUUUGAAGGGCAGCAUGAUCUUUACUGGGAAAAUGGCCUGUUGCCAGGCCAUGAGGUGGUUUCCAAGCAUUUCCUCCUUAAUCUACUUCUGUCCUCCUUUUAAAAAUGUGAACUCCAGAGGCUCAGCUUCAUUAACUUCUAGGUUUUUUUUUUUUUUUAAUCAUCUCUAAUCACCAUGACCUAUGUUUUAUGCACUUUUCAUACAAAGCAUUUAUGUAAUGCUUUAUAUAGGCUGUAUUAUUUGAUCCUUAGAACAACUCUGUGAGGUAGGGGCUACUAUUAUCCCAUUUUACAGAUGAGGAAACAGACUGCUAAGGAUUAAAAAAAAAAAAAACUUCCAAAGAUCAUACAGUUAGUUAGUAUUUGAGGCAGAAUGUAAACUCAGAUAUUCUUGACUUCAGGCCAGGGCUCUAACCACUGUACCUAUUCUCAUUCUGGCCCCAUUCUUUUGUGUGAAAAAACUGUUCAGUACAGGAAGAGUCACCUUCAUGAUUGUUUCACAGUAUUUCAGUCUGUACUUUGUUAAAAUUGACUCAACAUGAGGUGUUAAACUGUUGCUGCUUUCUGCAAAGAGCUUUGUAUGAUUCAUGGGCUAAACAAUAGGGAAUAUGGGGCCUGAAUAGAGAAGAACAUCCAGUGGUGACGAAAAUCAACUCAGAAGGAUCCAAAAAAGGAGAGAAAAGAUAUUGCUUAAAGAAGCUUAUCGGGGGUGGCAAAAUCUUCCCAGUUCCCUAACGAAUUAUAUACAGACAACAGGUCUGUACAGGAACAGGAAAGACUUGGUGCUUAAUUCAGUUCCUUUGAAAUUCAGUUCAACAAAUAUUUAUUGAUAGAUUUGCUUUUAGUCUCCCAUUAUAAUGAUGAUGAUGAUGUCUCACAUUUCUACAGUAGAACACAAGAUCAUAGGAUCAUGGAAUUAGACUUGGGGGAAAAAAACUGGAAGCAAGCUGGUUCAGCCAUCACCUUUUAUAGAUAAGGGAGCUAAAGUUCAGAAAGAUAUAAUGAUGAUAAUAAUAGCAGCUAACAUUUAAUGCUUACAAUGUGCUAGGCACUCUGCUGGCACUAUUAUUUCUUUGUUCCUGUGUGUCCUUGGUUCUUGAAGAAAACUGUGACAUCAAGGAGGGGAUGCCAUGACAUGAAAGGGGAUUGGAUUUAAGUGAGAGAGGGCUGGGCAAAGUCACCUGCCUCACUUUUUCCUCGGGAGCCAUCUGGGUCCAGUGGCCGGAUAUAAAUGAGGAGGACUGGAGAUGGCCCUGGAUACUAUAGGAGACCUUGACCUUUUUAGGCUGAGGUCUUCAACAGGUCUCAGUUUGUCUGAGGCUGCACUCAUUCAGUGAUUAAGGCUAGUAGCUAUCGAUUGAGGCAAAAACAUUUCCUCUUUCACCUAGUCAAAAAAAAAAAAAUCUAAAUAAAUAAGUAAAUGAACGCAGGAGAGGUAGAUCCUCAGGGUUUCUGACCAAAACAGAAAAGAUUGCUAUUUACAUUCAAUUUGAGUCAAUCAGGACCCAAACAAUGACCCAAUGGGGCUUGGCCUACGACUUAUUGUUGGCCAAUGAGGAUCAGUUUGGUUUGGGUUGAAGGCAUGAUCCUUAAGAAAGAAAUCCUAGCUAUUAUUUCACUGGAUCCUCAUAACAACCUUGUUAAAUGCCAUUAUUAUUCUGAAUAUUUCAGGGGAUGAGGUAUCCUCAAGAUUAAUGAGGGGGAUGGGAAUACCUCAGGAUUAAUUGACUUGCUCAUGGUCACACAGAUAAUAAAUGUCUGAGGCUGGAUUCCUGACUUCAAACCCCCAUGCUUUUUUGACUGUAUCAUCUAAUUGCCCCCAAGGUCAUAUAAUCAGUCAAUCCUAAUCUGCAGAACCAGGAUUUCAACCAAGGUCUUUUAGUAACAAAUCUGAUGCUCCAGCAUUUUAAGAUUUAUAAAUUGCCUUCCCCAUAACAAUGCCAAGAAGGAGAUAGUGCAUAUAUCAUUGUUCUCAUUUUUCAGAUGAGGAAAUUGAGGCUAGAUAAAGUGACUUACCCGAAGUCACAAGACAAAUAUUGGAGUCAAUUAGUCAAACUAGAACAAUGCUGAUCAAUUUUUAAAUAUAGGCUGUCUCAGAAAAAAAUACUGCUGGACACCUUUUUAAAUUCAAUCUGAAUUAUUAACAUUUUCUCCAUCACUUUCUUAUGUUUAGAGACAAUCAACAAAACAAUUUGAUUCAAGACUUGAUUUGUAAUGUUUGCCUGUUUCUGAGAUGUAAAUGCUCACAAUGGAAAUUUAACAAUCACUUCUCUUGAGCAAGUAAAAGAUAGCUCCAGUCCAUUCUGAUUCAAGCCCAGGUCUCUUGUAUAAUGAAACAAAAGAGCACACUUCCUACUAUGCCAUACUGUAUGAUAGGAGACACUUGUGUGAUCCUGCCUCACUUAAAUCCAAUUCAUGUACAAGUCAAGACAACAUCUUCUGAUGUCAUUGGUUCUCUUAGAAAAGGAAGGACAAACAACAAUAAUUUGUGAUGAUAGAGACUUUGUUGACUCACCACACUAUUCUCUCUUUGUAUUAGGAACUUAACAAACAUCAAUAAAUACAGUGCCUCCUUGGAGGGUACCACAGAUAUAAAAGACUUCUUUCUUUCUUUGGUUCUUUGGUUUUCUUUCUUUUCUUUUCUUUUCCUUUCUUUUUUUCUUCUUUCUUUCUUUCUUUCUUUCUUUCUUUCUUUCUUUCUUUCUUUCUUUCUUUCUUUCUUUCUUUCUUUCCAUUCACCUAUCCAUCCACCAUCCAUCUAUUUAUCUAUCUAGGCUAUACAUGUACAUUCAUUUUUAACAUAUUUCCAUAUGAGUUAUGUUGGGAAAGAAAAAUCAGAACAAAAGGGAAACCCACAAGAAACAAACAAGAAACCUCCUCCCCAAAUGAAACAAAAAAGUGAAAAUAGUACCCUUUGCUUUGCAUUCCAUCUCUAUAGUUCUUUCUCUGCAUGCAGAUGCUAUUUUCCAUUCAAAGGCUAUCAGAAUUGUCUUAGAUCACUGUAUUGCUGAGAACAGCUAAGUCUAUCACAGUUGAUCAAAACACAAUCUUGCUAUUAUUCUGUACAAUGUUUUCUUCACUUGCUUCACUCAGUACAUAAUCAAAACUUUAUGAAAACAUCAUAAAGAAGAGGGAAAAAUGGACCUUGAAGAAAAGAAGGCUGAGGAAUGAGGAGAGGAUCAGAGAGUGAAAGGGUAGGUCAGAAAGAAUAAAACAGGAAUUUAAUCAUGAUCAAGAUAACGAUUCCCAGCACAUUAUUUUGUAAAUCUAAAAGCACCAGAUAAAUGUGUUUUUACUAUUUCUGUUUCAGGUAGCAUUAAGAAGUUCUUCCUCAAAUCCAAUAAGUCCCUCUUCUACUGGCUCUUUCAUUGAGAAAGCAAGGAUUAGUGGAGCCUUGAAGUUUCCCUGGAUUUUUGAGAGAAAGGGAGAUAACAAUUUCCCUUAAGUCCAUUCUGUCUGAGUAAUUGAAGUCCCAUGAAUCUCCCUUACUCAUAGAUCGGUAUUAUGCUUAGAUUUCAGCUUGCUCAUCUCUACACAUGCAUUUUAUCUUCUCAAAUGUAUUUUAUCCCAUGUUUCUUGACAAUGUGUUCUUUUCUGUCAGUCAAUGGUAGUGUAUCAUCAAUACAUCCCUCAUCUACUAUAUAAAAGGUAUUAGGCCUGAGGUAAUGACACCAGAAGUGUGGAAACAUAUUAAAAACCUCCUUUUUAGUUCAAUUAAAAUUAUUAAGAAGUAAACUCUUUUCAAUCUAAUCUAAAAACUUUUCAAUUUGUCUUCUAUGAUGUUAAGUCAAGAACAAAAAGUCUUUUCUAAGGAAAUACAUUAAGAAUGGAAACUAACCUUAGGUUAAAAACCCUUAAUUCCAAUUUAAGAAUCUCAUUUUUCCUACUCUUAGAAGUGUUUAGGCUAUUGAUUCACUAAGGGCAGUUUCUUUUCUUAUCCCCUGAAGUGAUGAUGUGGAAGUAUUGUAUGACCCAUCCUCCAUCCAAAAAAAUCAUAUUAAUCAUAGGAGGAAUCUUUUUUCAGUCUAUAGAGAGAGUGAUCAAGGAAGGAAUCCAGUAAAGAUCAUUAUUUUGGAAUGUUAGCUCCAAACUUCAUUUCAAAAUAUGGAUAAGGAGAAGGAGCUAAGUUAUUAUUUAUCAAGCAUCAAUUAAUCAAUUUACAGUUAUCUCAUUUGAUCCUUACAACAACUCUGGGAGAGAGGUGCUGUCAUGAUCUCCAUUUUGCAGUUGAGGCAAUUGAUCUGGAGAGAGGUUAUUGAUUUAUCCAGGGUUACAUAUCUAGGAAGUGUCUGAGGGUAUAUUUGAACUCAAGUUUUCUUGAUCCAGAUCCAGUGCUCUAACCAUGAAGUCUCCUGGGUUCCUCAUAGCAUGAUCUUUUGUCUUAUUUAAGAUUCCUUUAAAUGUUAUCCCAUUUGUUGGAGUUAUUGGAGGGCAUGUGAGACAUGACCAAAACAUGGAAUAUAGUAUUUUUUUUUAAUUUUUAAUUUUUUUUAUUAUAAUAACUUUUUAUUGACAGAAUCCAUGCUAGGGUAAUUUUUUUACAACAUUAUCCCUUGCACUCACUUCUGUUCCGAUUUUUCCCUCCCAUCCUCCACCCCCUCCCCUAGAUGGCAAGCAGCGCUAUAUAUGUUGAAUAUGUCCUGGUAUAUCCUAGAUACAAUGUAUGUGUGCAGAUCCAAACAGUUUUCUUGUUGCACAGGGAGAAUUGGAUUCAGAAGGUAAAAAUAAUCCGGGAAGAAAAACAAAAAUGCAAACAGUUUACAUUCAUUUCCCAGUGUUUUUUCUUUGGGUGUAGCUGCUUCUGUCCAUCAUUGAUCAAUUGAAACUGAGUUAGGUCUCUUUGUCAAAGAAAUCCACUUCCAUCAGAUUAUAUCUUCAUACAGUAUUGUUGUUGACGUAUAUAAUAAUCUCUUGGUUCUGCUCAUUUCACUUAGCAUCAGUUCAUGUAAUUCUCUCCAAGCCUUUCUGAAAUCAUCCUGAUGGUCAUUUCUUUUCUUUUUUUUUUUUUUUUUAUUGGUAAACAAGAUUAAACCUUUAAUUUUUUAUUGUUAUUUUAGUAGCAUUUUUCUAGUCACCUCUGAGGUCUGGAUGUUUUAUUUUUUUUUUUAAAUUUAAUAGCCUUUUAUUUACAGGAUAUAUACAUGGGUAACUUUACAGCAUUAACAAUCGCCAAACCUCUUGUUCCAAUUUUUCACCUCUUACCCCCCCCACCUCCUCCCCUAGAUGGCAGGAUGACCAGUAGAUGUUAAAUAUAUUAAGAUAUAACUUAGAUACACAAUAAGUAUACAUGACCAAAACAUUAUUUUGCUGUACAAAAAGAAUCAGACUCUGAAUUAUUGUACAAUUAGCUUGUGAAGGAAAUCAAAAAUGCAUGUGUGCAUAAAUAUAGGGAUUGGGAAUUUAAUGUAAUGGUUUUUAGUCAUCUCCCAGAGUUAUUUUUCUGGGCAUCUGCUGGUCAUUUCUUACAGAACAAUAAUAUUCCAUAACAUUCAUAUACCACAAUUUACCCAACCAUUCUCCAAUUGAUGGGCAUCCAUUCAUUUUCCAGCUUCUGGCCACUACAAACAGGGCUGCCACAAACGUUUUGGCACCUACAGGUCCCUUUCCCUUCUUUAGUAUCUCCUUGGGGUAUAAGCCCAGUAGAAACACUGCUGGAUCAAAGGGUAUGCACAGUUUGAUAACUUUUGGGGCAUAGUUCCAGAUUGCUCUCCAGAAUGGUUGGAUUUGUUCACAGCUCCACCAACAAUGUAUCAGUGUCCCAGUUUUCCCGCAUCCCCUCCAACAAUCAUCAUUAUUUUUUCCUGUCAUCUUAGCCAAUCUGACUGGUGUGUAGUGGUAUCUCAGAGUUGUCUUAAUUUGCAUUUCUCUGAUUAAUAAUGAUUUGGAACACUCUUUCAUAUGAGUGGUAAUGAUUUCAAUUUCAUCAUCUGAAAAUUGUCUGUUCAUAUCCUUUGACCAUUUAUCAAUUGGAGAAUGGCUUGGUUUCUUAUAAAUUAGAGUCAGCUCUCUAUAUUUUGGAAAUGAGGCCUUUAUCAGAACCUUUAACUGUGAAGAUGUUUUCCCAGUUUGUUGCUUCCCUUCUAAUCUUGUUUAAUUAGUUUUGUUUGUACAGAAGCUUUUUAAUUUGAUGUAAUCAAAAUUUUCUAUUUUGUGAUCAAUUAUGCUUUCUAGUUCGUCUUUAGUCACAAAUUUCUUCCUCCUCCACAAGUCUGAGAGAUAAACUAUCCUAUGUUCCUCCAAUUUGUUUAUAAUCUCGCUCUUUAUGUCUAAAUCAUGGACCCAUUUUGAUCUUAUCUUGGUAUACGGUGUUAAGUGUGGGUCCAUGCCUAAUUUCUGCCAUACUAAUUUCCAGUUAUCCCAGCAGUUUUUGUCAAAUAAUGAAUUCUUAUCCCCAAAGUUAGGAUCUUUGGAUUUGUCAAACACUAAAUUGCUAUAGUUGACUAUUCUGUCUUGUGAACCUAACCUGUUCCACUGAUCAACUAAUCUAUUUCUUAGCCAAUACCAAAUGGUUUUGGUGACUGCUGCUUUAUAAUAUAGUUUUAGAUCAGGUACAGCUAGGCCACCUUCAUUUGAUUUUUUUUUCAUUAAUUCUUUUGAGAUUCUUGACCUUUUAUUAUUCCAUAUGAAUUUUGUUGUUAUUUUUUCUAGAUCAUUAAAAUAUUUUCUUGGAAGUCUGAUUGGUAUAGCACUAAAUAAAUAGAUUAGUUUAGGGAGUAUUGUCAUCUUUAUUAUAUUCGCUGGACCUAUCCAGGAGCACUUAAUAUUUUUCCAAUUGUUUGUCUGACUUUAUUUGUGUGGAAAGUUUUUUGUAAUUUUGCUCAUAUAAUUCCUGACUUUCCUUUGGUAGAUAGAUUCCCAAAUAUUUUAUGCUGUCGACAGUUAUUCUGAAUGGAAUUUCUCUUUGUAUCUCUUGCUGUUGGAUUUUGUUGGUGAUGUAUAAAAAUGCUGAGGAUUUAUGGGGAUUUAUUUUAUAACCUGCAACUUUGCUAAAGUUAUGGAUUAUUUCUAAUAGCUUUUUUGUAGAAUCUCUAGGGUUCUCUAAGUGUACCAUCAUGGAAUAUAGUAUUAAUAUAUUUUUUCCUUCACACAAAUAUAAACUUCCAUCCCUGUAAUCAAGGAGCUCACGUUCUUAUUGACGAAACAAGACAGACAUACACAAAAGAUCAAAGAUCACAGAAGGCAGUUUUUUUUAGUGGAAAGAACAUUGGAUUUUGAGUUAGGAGACUUAGGUCCCUGCUCUGUCAUUUAUCCCCAGUGUGAUCCUGGAUCCCACUGUCUAGGCUUCAAUUUACUCAUUUUAAUGUACUGGUCAUCUGCAACAUGUCUCAUCUCUUUUGGAAGCUAAAGAGAACACCAGAAGUUCCUCUAGUGAUAAAAAUAUUGGUGAAAUACCAAGGAAUGGAGGAACGUGUGUGUGUGUGUGUGUGUGUGUGUGUGUAAAGAUUCCAAGUUUUUCUUUUUGGACCUUGAGGACCUUUUUGUCUGAAAGAUUUAAUUUGUGGAAAGCAGGAGAGAUAUAGGAGCCCGGUCAGGUCUCGAGAGAUGUCACCCUGGCCAUAGGGAAUGAGCAGCCUUGGUGUUUGGAUUGAUGGUGUGGAUAUGACUGCCUCCCCACAACCUGCUGGAGCUGGCAUUUCAGAAUGUUUUUUUUUUAUUAUGAGGAAAAUGAAACUUCACAAAAUGAAACAAGAAAGCAGGAACAUCAAGCAUGACCACCAUUAGGAAAAACCCACUGUCAAGCCUUGCCAAGUAGGGAAAGGGACCUGUAGUAACGGAUCUCCCAGGUAAGGCAGAGAGUAGGAACAGAGGAGUAUGAUGAGAAUUUUAGGGUGUUUAAUUCUGUUUGGAUUUUUGAGAGGACUUCCAAGGGAGGUCAUAUGGUCUAAUCCUCUGUCCCUGGUCAGACAUAUAUUCAAUCUCUCCAAUAAGGAUAAUUAUUCUCUAGGAAUUUCUCCAUGGAUCAAGAUUCUAUAAACUUUGGCCAAAUAUUUCAGUAU
rnacentral:lncRNA from 1 species